AUAUGCGAAAAUUGGUAUUUUUAAGAGCUGAAACUUUUAAGUUAAAUGAUUUAUUAAUUGAUUUGAAAGUUUUUCUUCAGUGUAAAAUUUUUAUUUUCACAGUCGAAGCACUCAGAAUAAAAUUUGUAAAAUAAUCAAACAAAGCACAACAUUUCACAUUUUUGGCAGCACUGCCAGAAAGAAACAAUGUUAUUGGCAGCCCACGGCUUUCUGUCAGUGGCAGUUUAAAAAAAGAGAAAAGCUCCAGCAUUACCACCAUGGAAGGAAUUAAUACAUUAUUGCUCUUGUCGGUGGGCACGUAAAAAAUAUUCGACAGCCGUGAAUACGGUCACCAGACGCGCGUUUCAGAUCUGCGUGUGUUGUGCGGAACCUGGCCCUUUAGUGCUUUACCGCCAUAUAAACGUAUCAUCAGUCUUCUUCGUACCAACCUAUUCACAAUGAUUCCGAAGUCGGUGAGAUUGGGGAAUCUGUAUCCUGCUGCUGAUUCGUUACGCCCCAGACAGACGGCGACAGAGCCUUGUGUCACUGGAAGGAAAGUCCAAAUCAUUCCCGCUUGCCUACGAUACGAUACGAUGAUGAACAGCAAGUAUCUGGAACCGCGAUUCUUGCGCAAUCAGAUGACACCGAGAACCAGGUUGAGGAUGUUCAAGCUUCAAGGCCCACAACAUGAGCAAUAAGCUAUGAGCUGACACUUUCGUGGCACCCUCAUCGUAGUCCAGCAAAGAAAAUCAAAUCAUAUAUGCUGUAUAUAUAAAUAAAAGGAAAUAAAAUGAAAAGUUGAUGAAUUUUGGUUACAUAAAAUUUCAUUUUGACGUGUUUGGUUUAAAUUAAAGGGAAAAACUACUUGUUGUAUUGAGAGCGCACACCACUUGUUGUAUUGAAAGCUCACUAGUUAACUCAAAUGUAAAACACACAUUUAAUUUUGAGAGGAAAAUGUUGUUUUGAAAAGUUUGGUUUAGUUGAAGUUAUUACCGAAGUGACAAUUUUUGCAUUGGUAGAUUUAACAAUCUUAUACUUUCUAC